AACUUGGAACCUCAGUUCGACACUUCCGCUGAUCCGAGGCCAGGAAGGAUACAGCCGGAGACAGUGAAGAAAAAGCCGGGUUCCCUGAAGUCACUAGGGGCAGAGGGGCAGAGAGAGCUGGACCUGGGAUGCCCUGCCUCUUAGCUCCAAGACUGUUGUCGUUCUGUCAAAAAAUGACUAAGGAAGGAAGCUGUGAAGGUACUAACUGAAGAUGGGCUUGAUAAUAAUCCCUUCCUGCACUUAAGCUUUUAUUGACGGAUACUAGCCUACUAGCUGCCUUCAAGCUCGCGUUCCUGGUGAGCUGUUCUCAUCUUGUCCUAGCUGCUUAAUUUUCUACCCCGUAGACACGGAUUACACUUAUCUUACAUCUGAAUACCACUGCUUGCUCCCUUAAAGACUUUCAAGUCCUCUUUGGGACAAUCAAUCUUCUGCCCUAUUACCAUUACGUGGAUUAAGCAAUGGCUCCAUAAUUGUGCAGAAGAAAUAGUUGUAAAUCUGAAAAAAGUUUGCCAAGUGGUCUGUAACUGACAUUUUGGCUUUGAAUAUGUGAGGCAUCAUUUUUACAUGAGGAGACUCAUCCAGAAGAGUUAAGGGCCUCCUCAAAGGCCUGGAAUUCUUAUUGUAGUUUCAAUUACCAAACCAAUAGUCUUUCUUCAAUACCAACCUACUUCCCACAUCUGUCUGAGUGGAUGCCUAAGACCUUUUCUUUAGUAAUAUUCUGUCACUGUUUGGGAUGCAAACAUAUAAUUUUUAGAGCAAAAUUAUGAACACAACUUUCACAUUCUCGCAUGCUUUCUGACUUUGCCCUACUACACCCCAGUUUAAGACUCCUGUCCUUAGCCGUUCAUGCAUGUAAUAUUGACCUUAGAUUUUGGUUCCUCUAUAUUCCUUCCUACUGAGAUCAGACUUUGCUCAGCUGUUCUGUAAAGUAACCAGAGUUAUUCCUCUCUCAUUUUCUGGUAUCAUCAAUAAAGUCCUGCAUGGUGGUUACAAGAUAGGACUUGGUGGCCAAGGCCUGGGCUUCAGUUAUAGCUCUCCAUUACUAAGCAUGCUCCCUUACCUUCCUGUGUCCAGAUUCCUCAUCUGGUGUUACCACUUCUUCUGUCAUAGUCUUUCAAGAGCUAUAGAGUGUUAACCAUUUAGAGCAAUGUCUGAUGUGCAAUACCCAUCAUGUUAAGCAUAGGCUGUAAUCACAGUCAACCCUUGGCCUGUGUGUCCUGCUUUUGAAGCCUGUUUUCAGCCUGCCCUAGCUUUGUUGACUCAUUUUCAGGCAAUGUUUUGAAUGUUAAAUACCCCGAAGCUGUGGAGACACUAGAUGUGGUGCUGAGCUGAAGCACAGAGGAAGGCCUGGGCAGCCAAAUCAGCAGAAUGGAGCUGCAUAAAACUAUGGGGGUUAGCCCAUGCUUGUUGAAGCUGAAACUCAGGGAAAUGAUCUGAUGCAAUCUCUGACGGCAAUGCAAGUCAACUGUGACGGCCAGUCUCGGUUGUCAGUCAGACUAGAUCUGUAAUCAACUAAGAUGGAAGCCAGUAGGCAUGCCAGCAAGAAAUUCCCUUGAUCAGAUCGUUUGAAGCAGUAAGAGCCCACCCUCGAUGUGAGUGGCACCUUCUGAUAACAGCCCAGGUGAAAGGAAAUGGAAUAUGGAAACUUCUCUUCCUGCUUGUUUGCCUUUUCUCCUGGCAAGUUCAUCCGUCUUGUUGCUUCAUUCCUCCUCUAAUCUUAGAACAAGCUUCUUUGAGUUUCCAAGUGGCAGCUCUCCAGGAAUACUCCUGGCCUUAAGUGCACGUCUGGGACUGCAGAGACAUGAAGCCUCCUGGACUGAGCAACUAGCAGAUUCUCAGCCUCUCUGCUUCUGAGCUGACUAUCGUUGAACUACCAGGACCACAUCCUAUAAGCAAUAUCAGUGUGUGCCUUAUGGAACCCUGGCUACUGCAUCAGCCUUCCUGUUUCUGGCAAACCCAACCUCACUCUUCUCUAGAAAUGGUUCAGUACUGCAGCUAGAUACUUACUCUUGUAAGUCCUGCUCAGUGAAUUUCUCUAGAGUAAUUGGAUCAAACCCAAAUGACCCAGUCAUCCUCCUGUGGGGAGGAUCAGCUAGUCACUAACUACUAGGUUUCCUUGGAGUGUUUCGGGAGAUGUUCAGAUAAUAGCUAUUAAAUAAAUCAGAGAGCUGUUCCAUGAA